AGAGUUUGAUCAUGGCUCAGGACGAACGCUGGCGGCGUGCUUAACACAUGCAAGUCGAGCGGAAAGGCUCCUUCGGGAGUACUCGAGCGGCGAACGGGUGAGUAACACGUGAGUAAUCUGCCCUUCACUUCGGGAUAACCGCCGGAAACGGUGGCUAAUACCGAAUACGACCAUCCCUCGCAUGAGGUGUUGGUGGAAAGUUUUUUCGGUGAAGGAUGUGCUCGCGGCCUAUCAGCUUGUUGGUGAGGUAACGGCCCACCAAGGCUUCGACGGGUAGCCGGCCUGAGAGGGUGACCGGCCACACUGGGACUGAGACACGGCCCAGACUCCUACGGGAGGCAGCAGUGGGGAAUAUUGGACAAUGGGCGAAAGCCUGAUCCAGCAACGCCGCGUGAGGGAUGACGGCCUUCGGGUUGUAAACCUCUUUCAGUACCGACGAAGCGCCCUUUACGGGUUGUGACGGUAGGUACAGAAGAAGGACCGGCCAACUACGUGCCAGCAGCCGCGGUAAUACGUAGGGUCCGAGCGUUGUCCGGAAUUAUUGGGCGUAAAGGGCUCGUAGGCGGUUUGUUGCGUCGGGAGUGAAAACUUACAGCUUAACUGUGAGCGUGCUUCCGAUACGGGCAGACUUGAGGUAUUCAGGGGAGAACGGAAUUCCUGGUGUAGCGGUGAAAUGCGCAGAUAUCAGGAGGAACACCGGUGACGAAGGCGGUUCUCUGGGAAUAACCUGACGCUGAGGAGCGAAAGUGUGGGGAGCGAACAGGAUUAGAUACCCUAGUAGUCC
rnacentral:rRNA from 1 species